CUGCUUUGGAAAUCAUAGAGACAUUAGCGCUAAGACUUAUGACAAAAUUUGCAAGAGUUUGACAACUGCACACCACGGUGCGUUGGCUGAGGCAGCAGUUAAUUCUCUUAUUCAGUUCUGAGCUAACAGGUAUAGUUUGCACCUCAACAAAAGCAAACCUGCUCAGGAGGAACUACGGCUAUUUGGUCUCCAUAAACUGCUGAUGUUCAGUCUCCAUGAACAGUUUUGUCAGUGGGCUUGAAUGAGACUGCAGAGUUUCUGAGAGAUCCUCCAGUUUCCUCUGACAUGCCUGUAAGCUGAGAUUUCAGCUCUUUUGGGAGAACCCAUCAUUCUGUUCCUUGUUGGCAGAAGGAUUUGUCACACAACAAGGGACACGGCUGGGCCCUGGAAGACAAACUGGGUGGAGAGACAAAGGCAGAACUGGCUCUAGAGAGUGGACGCUUUCUGGUGACAAAGUUGAGACUAAACGCAGAUGAACAUCAUUUACCCCCUUGUGAUAUGAGCAAAAAGGGUUUCCUUGCUUGGCCUGGAACACCGAAUGGUGGAGAGGCCAGUGUGCAGCCAGUCCCAGUUACCAACCUGGGUAUCCAUGGGGAAUAGGGCUGACAGGAGCUCCUGCUGUGAUUGCCGUGGAGGAAGCUGGAUGUAUGAGCUUCUCCAGAGCCAGUCAAGGGGACUGCAGGUGGAAAUAGUGACACGAAGUGGCGGCGAAUCCCACCGGGCUUUUGGUUCACAAGUCGCAGCUCUGCCUGCCGUGUGCCAGACAAGAGGAAACCCAGCAACCUGUUGGGAACCUCGGCCGCUCGGGGCGGAAAGGAGAGGAGGAGAAGCCUCCCGCUGCAUUGUCUGGGGCGCUGCCUCCGUUUCCGCCGGCUGA
rnacentral:lncRNA from 1 species